AUGAAGCAGUUUUCGGUAUAAACUUUGUUAGUUUCUGACUGUAUCUAAAAAUAUACAGAAGAUACUUUGCAGUGUACUUCCAAAAGGGUGAAUGAUGUGGGGAGUCUUGUUGCACUUUAUAAUGCUUUGGUAUGUUUGUUUGUGUUUUAUAGACCGUUUAUAGGGCAGGAAUGCAGAACAUUUUUGAGAGUUUUCAGAACUCCCUUUUUUCAUCUUUACAAAUGCUUCACAUAAAGCUUCUGUCCCUUCUAAAGUGUUUUCUUUUUUUAGAUUCACUCUCAGCUUGGACCAUUAUUCCCCAAAAUUUGCAAUUAUUGGAAUACAGAAAUUCUUUAUGCUUCGGUCCAACUCGUUUGAGUCUCAUGCAAUUUGCUUUGAGCAAUUGCUAAAUUGACAUUUGUUUGUGUGCGCAUACACAUGUGACUUACUUGUUGCUCCAGUUCAAAACAGCUUAUGGCAAAUUUUUACUUUUUGCCCAAGGAAAUUGUCUCUACUCGCACAAUCCACAGACAUUUGCAUGAAUUUUCUAUUAGUAGAAAGUUUAUAAGUCCGAUAAAAAAGAUUAAUAUAAAAAGAGAGCACAGUUCAAAAAUUAAGACAAAUUGAUUUGAAGAAAUUUGGGACGUAGUAGUUGCUUGAAAAGUUAUUUCUGGAUAUCUCACAGUCAAUUUUACUCGAUUUUUUUUCUAUUUUGGUCUGCCAUCAGAAGUUGGCAAGCAACCUACGAUGAUCGCUGUUGGUUUUUAAUUACACGGCAGCUCGCAGACUGUGUCUCUUAACCCCCCAAAGCCCACAAGCCCACGAAACUGCGGGUUUGGCGACCACCGCGGCAAUUAACAAUCUUUUGGCGGCGACAACACUUAACGGGAAAACAUUUUGCAAAUUCGAACGAACGCAUCGAUUACCUGAACAGAGCUACGCACCUGUCGGCGUUGCGGCGAGGCAGGUGAAAAUCGAAACAAAUUCAAAAAAUAUCACAGGCGGCAGCUACGCAAAUUUUACGCAAUUGGGGACAGGAAAAAAAUGCAAACAAACAUUCGAAAACUUUAAUAACUGAAGCAAAACCUUUGCCAUCAAUCAGUAACUCUUGAAACAUGGAAAUAAGACAAAAAAUUGCGAGCAUCACGUAUAGUAUCGGAUCGAGAGUGGCUGACCCUGAAAACCCCAACUACUUGUCUCCGAAUGAAAUGACAGCCAAAGAAGCCGCAGCAACAAAACAUUAUAAAAAGUGUUUGCCAAAAAUGUUAAACCAGAACAGGCCAAAAUAAAAAAGAGCCCGGCAAAAUUGGCUGAGAGAA